GGAGGGGUGGCCGAGUGGACGAAGGCGGGUGAUUUGAAAUCACCAGUGGGUUCANNGGUUCGAAUCCCUCCCCCUCCGCCA
rnacentral:tRNA from 1 species